rnacentral:rRNA from 1 species
GCACAGAGUUAGCCGUCCCUUCCUCUUUCGCUACAAUCAGCUCGUCAUCUUUUAAAUAACGAGGUUUGUUCGCAAAUGACAGGGGUUUACGGGCCGAAGCCAUUCAUCCCCCACGCGGCGUCGCUCCAUCAGGCUUUCGCCCAUUGUGAAAAAUUCUCGACUGCUGCCACCCGUAGGUGUCUGGACCGUGUCUCAGUUCCAGUGUGGCUGGUCGUCCUCUCAGACCAGCUACCCGUCUUAGCCUUGGUGAGCCGUUACCUCACCAACUAGCUGAUAGGCCGCGGGCUUAUCGUGAAGUGCCAGGCCUUACGGUCCCCAGCUUUAAGGUUCAGGAGAUGCCUCCCGAAGAUCACAUCCGGUGUUAGCUCGCCUUUCAGCGAGUUAUCCCGGGCUUCACGGCAAAUUACCCACGUGUUACGCACCCUUGCGCCACUCCGACUGCAGAAUAUUGCUACCCCGCAAUCAGCGUUCGACUUGCAUGUCUUAUCCACGCCGCCAGCGUUCGUU